GGGAAUGUGGCUUAGUGGUAGAGUACUUGCCUAGCAUGCAUGAAGCUCUGAGUUCCAUUCCUG
rnacentral:tRNA from 1 species